GGCUGGUCUGAAGGUAGUAGUGAAUUAGCUCAACUGAUUGUUCACAGUCAGUUACAGAUCAAACUCUUCUACUCUUUCCCCUCUUCUCACUACUGCACUUGACUACUCUUUA
rnacentral:Y_RNA from 1 species